rnacentral:rRNA from 1 species
GACGGACGCUGGCGGUGUGCUUAACACAUGCAAGUCGAACGGUAAGGCCCUUUCGGGGGUACACGAGUGGCGAACGGGUGAGUAACACGUGAGUAACCUGCCCUCAUCUCUGGGAUAACAGUCGGAAACGGUUGCUAAUACUGGAUAUGAGCUUGCAAGGCAUCUUGUGGGUUGGAAAGAUUUUUUUUGGUUGGGGAUGGACUCGCGGCCUAUCAGCUUGUUGGUGAGGUAGUGGCUCACCAAGGCUUCGACGGGUAGCCGGCCUGAGAGGGCGACCGGCCACAUUGGGACUGAGAUAUGGCCCAAACUCCUACGGGAGGCAGCAGUGGGGAAUAUUGCACAAUGGACGGAAGUCUGAUGCAGCAACGCCGCGUGCGGGAUGACGACCUUCGGGUUGUAAACCGCUUUCAAUUGUGACGAAGCUUUUUUGUGACGGUAGCAGUAGAAGAAGCACCGGCUAACUACGUG